rnacentral:lncRNA from 1 species
GUGCAUCAGUAACAACCAGUCAAUAAAUUUUCAUGCAUCAUUGCACUGAAGUGAACCACGCUUGUAGCCUAUCCUGUGGACGUGCAAUAUAAUUCUGGAAUGCAACUACAGAUCAAAUUGUAAACCAAUGCAUUGCUUAACUUAGCACAAACCCUACAAAACCAUCUCAAUGCAUAUAUCCUACAAAGCAUGAAACCAUGUCAUAAUGCAUCAUCAAUUUACAAGCAACCAAAUGUAAUGCCAUAACUGAUCCUAUAGUGCAAUUACAAAACAACUCUUGCAACAAGUCAACCCAAUGCAGUAACACAUCAAUUCCAAACCUUCCACAUAGCCAUUCAUGAUAGAAUGCAGCCACAACAAACCAGUCUAUGAUAAAUACCAAGCAUGCGACCUGCAGUAGGCUCGUGCCCAAUAAAACAUGGCAUAUUCCAUCCUCAAUCACUAACCAUGCUAAUUGUUGCAUUCAAAUUUGAAACAAAAAACCAUGUAGUACAUUAACACAUGAGACAAGUCGGAACACAAUACAUACAAGUUACUCAAACCAAAUCAGAAGCAUUAAUAUCCAGAUCUGAAUAAAAAAGUACCAAACUGCUGCAGAAUAGUGAAACCAAAUUAAGAACCAUGUUAUGGUGCACAAGCCCUGAUGUGUUGCUAACAGAGGAAAACCAAGUGCACUUUUUAUAGAACAUAAUACUUGUUGCAAUCAUCAUGCACAUGAUCACCUGUUGCAAAAAAAAUAAGCCAAACCAUUAGCAAUGGACAACAACAUAAUUUACUCACAGAAGCAUAAUGACCUAAGUUGUAUUUCAUUACAAAUUAACCAUUCAAGCUAAGCAAUCAUCAAGCAAUUUGUCAUCAUGCAUAUGAACACCCGUAGGAAAACAACUUGACCAAGUUGUUGCAGCAAGCAAUGCACCACACUAUAUGCCUGCAGAACCAUGUUGCACCACAUCAAACCAAGUCAAAAUGAGGCAUAGCUAUGCCAAAGUGUGAUGCAUACCCUACAGGGCCAAGUUAGUAGCAGCACAAGUUAACUGACAUAACAUUAAACACCGUAUCAAUUCAACUAGCUGGCUAAUAGAACCACCUCUAAACUGAGCCAACACUAUCCAACUAACAUAACAAAACUAACAUGAUGCCACCUCACCAAAAACAUAACUAGCUAACCUAACUGUCAGCUAAUGCAUUGGAGUCAGCAAUAAUAUCUCAUAACAAACUCCAACUAAACAUAACUGAAAACUCUAACUGAUCCUCACCAAUCCCUAAGUUCCUAAAAAAACUAUAAAGCAUAAUCAUCACCUUCCCAUCCAUUUUUUAUUCAUUCAUCAUCACCAAUAACAAAACCACUUAUUCGUCAAUCGACGAUCAUUCAUCAUCCAAUCACCAAUCACUCUCUCAUCAAAAGAGGAUCAACAUCUUCAUCAUUCAUCAUCACUAAUUCAAAAGCUCUCCCUUGUUCUCUCAUUCUCAAUUUUCAUCUUCAUCAAUCACCUGCAUCAUUCAACCUGCACUUUCCCUCAACCUUCAACACUCAUAUUCCUCACUCUCCAAUCAACAACAUCUCAGAAUUAAGAAGAAAAAAAAAGGAGAAAAGAAGGAAUCAGAGUCAAGAGCGGGGAAGAAGGGAAUAAAGUCAUUACCUGGAAACAGAGGUUCCAUCAUCGUUGUCACCGUCGUCACCUUUGGCAAGGUGAAUCUCAAAAUUCCUUAUUUCAUUUAAUUCUUUGUCACCAUGAUGCAGAGAAGAGCUAUGGGAAUCGAAGCCCCAAUCCCUUGGGCUCUGAUUCUCGGGGAGAGGCGUUUAAUUUAAGAUCUUGAAAUUAGGGUUCUUGAGGAUCCCGAUUCUGUUAGUGAGUUAGGUUUAUUUUUUAUGAAAUUAACAUGAUAUUCAUGGAGAGGAGAGAGAGACAGACAAGAUGAUGGUUGAGAUUCAUGUUUUGGUGGCCACUGCCGCUGGAAGCAAUUUCCGGCGCAGUGGUCCAUGGCGAUGAGGAGAGGGAGUGUUGACCCGAGUUGAGAGUGAGUGUGGCGCGUGUUUUAUGUUGAAUUCAUUUUCAGCACCCAAUCAAUGACCCUCACAUGUGCCCUUUGACUUAGGCUUCAUGGCUUAAUGAUCCAAUUCACCAUGUGCUGAAUUCUUUUCCAUGGCCAAGUUGUUGAUGGGCCUAUG